CCCUUAGAUGUUCUGGGCCGCACGCGUGCUACACUGAGUGGAUCAGCGGGUCAGGUUGCGCGAAAGUGUUUCCUAAUCUUGAAAUCCGCUCGUGAUGGGGAUUGACGGUUGCAAUUUUCUGUCAUGAACGAGGAAUACCUUGUAAGCGCGGGUCAUCAUCCCGCGCUGAAUACGUCCCUGCCCUUUGUACACACCGCCCGUCGCUCCUACCGAUUGAGUGGUCCGGUGAGGCUUUGGGAUCUGGAUGGAAAGAGCGUUUCGCUGUUUCUGCCCGGAAAACUCAGCCGAACCUUAUCAUUUAGAGGAAGGAGAAGUCGUAACA
rnacentral:rRNA from 1 species